GAGCGGACAGGCAGAGAAGAAGAGGGAGGGAGCGAGGGAAGGAGGGACGGCCACGCGCAGCGGCGGCGGCGGCGGCAGCAGCAGCAGCAGCAGCGGAGAGAGGGCUUGAGGCGCAGGUAAGUUUUGGAGGGUGAUUGGUGGACGAAAUCUUGGCCCUGGUGCGGUCCGGCGCAAGAAAGCCGAGGACCAAAACAACCUCCCCGUGAGGCUGAAUGAGAAUGGAAAAUGAAUUGUGAAUCCGAAGCAGAACAUCUACUUAUUAUAGGCUGAGAGGCAGUGACGGGUCCAGCUCACCCAGGAGCUGAAGACAAGAUACACUGCUCUUUUUUCCAAUAUUUUUCCUUAAAUAAACCUGCCCAAUAGUCAGGUUGAGAGAGUGGCUGGACUACAUGAAUUCCCAUGGUUUUGGAUAGAUCAUCGCCUGGAUGUCCUCAGUCCAACAAUUCAGAUUUUCAAAUUAUUAUCAUGAACCAGGACAAGGAAGAUUGUGAGCAAAAAGUGGAAGGGUAUAACAUUUUUUUACAAAUCUAAUCAUGCUUGCAUGGACAAAACAUGAUAGGUGUCAAGCUUCACUCCAGGCUUUGAUGUCUGCUUUGCCCAUGCAUACUUGCAAAGUUUGAUAACCCAUAUGUAUGUAGAUUAACCUUUAAGUUGAUAAAAUUGGGUGGUAUAUUGAUUUCUUGCCCAACUUUGACCUUAGUGAAACCCCAAUAAAAUUUUAUGCAUCAGGAAAGAAGGAAGGAAAUAAUUUCUUUCUUGUUAGCUUUAUAUAUGAAAAACUGACUCUGAGGAAAACACAACUGAUUAAAUUUUAAAGAAAAAAGAGCAUUUACUCAAUUAAUAGUUAUCAAAAUAAUGAGUAUAAAGAAGUUGCUAUUUAAAUGAGCAAUCUUGUUUCUAAUUUAAAAAGUAUAUUCACAGUAUGGAACUAUAUUGCUUAAAAGUUAGCUUCUGAUCUCUAUUUUCAAUGAACACUUAAAAUAUUCAAAAAAAGAUUUAUAUCAAAUACAGCAAUUCUUAACAAUAAUCAGUCAUUGAUGAAAAAUUACCAUAACACAUUUCCUCUGGUGGUAUUCAAACUUUGAUCUUUCAAAGCAAGCAAACUACACUUUUGCAAAUAAGGUGUGAGAUUAAAACAAGAAUAUUGCUUUCUUAAGAGCCAUGACACAAGAUGAGCAUUUUUUAAAAGUUGUACAGCAACAGGAAUCAUGGAGAUAUUGAAAAAUUAAAAAAAAUGGGAAAGAAUAUGACACCUUUGCUAAUCUUCAUAAAGCUCUUAUCUAAAUUUGCAUCCCCAAAAAGUAAGAGCCACUAAAAUCAAUUAAAUAUAUUUCUGAAGAAUCUUGCCAAUAAAGAAUUGCACUGUAAGCCUGUAUUAAAAAGAGUGACCCUUCUGUCAAUAUUUAAGCAUGGAUAUAAGACAUGAUCUCAAGGUUGUGAUCCCAAUAUUGAUUUUUACCAUAGCUUGCAAACACUUUUGUUAAAAAGCUUCAUAUAUAAACAAAACUUACAUUGAGAGAUAAUCUAUCUGAAGUUCACAACAAAAGCAGGAGUGUUUUGUACCUGCUUUGUAUGAACUGAGCAGGGGGACUAAGCUCCACAUUCCCAGCUCAAAGCUUUCUAAAGAUGAUAAUGACAUCAUACGUAACUUUGCUACAUGUUUAAUCAACUAAGCUGCUUGCUUUCUGUACCUUAACGUGCUUUUGAAUAAGCAGCUAAGGUAGAAUGUGUUGUUCAUAACGCCAAGCUCUGAAUUUGGGCUGGUUCAAACAUGCCCUACAGAAAAUUAUUCUUCGGUGAUUUUAAACUAUUGCAGGCUGUUUCCAGAGCUUUUUCAAUACUAAACAUAUUGAAAGGCAUGUGCAAACGUAUUUCGCACAGCAGUCCCUCAAGAAAUUUUGGCAGCCACCUUUCAAAUUAUAGUGUCAUCCGCAAAUACACCUUACAUCAGAAACUGUGUCUAAAUAUAAUUGCAAGUGUCCCUCUGGCCUUCGAUUAUAGUUGUGGGGGUGGGUAAAACGUUCAUAGCAUAUUCCACCCAGAUUAAUUCCAUAAAAUGCUAAGGUGAAAUAGGUUGGCAGAUAAAAACCUUGUUAGCUGCGCAUUUAAGCAUUUAGAAAUCAAUGACAUUUGUGGUAACUCUGCAACCCAAGCAAAGCUUUGAUCACAAGAUUAGAAAAAUUUUAAUGAGCUACUAAAUGUGGCACACAGAGAGCCAGUUUGUAUAGUGGUUAAGGCAUUGGGUGAUAAUGCUGCUUUUAAUCGCAUGUUUUAAAAACAUCUUGCCUUCAUUUGAUUUUGGGAAAAAGUACUGGAUUAUAUAAAAAUAAUUGUGCGACCAGAACUAAAUUUUUCAGAUGAUAAUAUUUUCUUCCAGCAUUGAAUAAUAAAUGUGUGGCCCUUUUCAUUCAGUGGGUUGAAGACCUGAUUGCACUUGCCAUCAACGAGCAUAAUACCUAUAAUGUAGAUGUACAU